rnacentral:lncRNA from 1 species
AAUUUUAUAUAAUUUGGUAACAAAUUUUCGAAUUAAUUGCUCAUAAAUUACUUCUCGAUCAUUAAUCAAAAGCUUUAUAGGUCACAAAUUAUUACAAUUUCAAAAAUAAAAAAUUUUAUAUGUUACAAUUUAUUUAUCGAUCACAAAUAACAAAUUUUAUAAGUUACAACUCAAAUUUUUAGAUCACAUACUAUUUGUAGUUACAAAUUAUUGGUUACAUAUUAUUUAUUAGUCAAAAUCUCAAUAAUUGGUCACAAACAAUCUUAAUCCCAUCACCUACCCCACUCAAUCCCUAAUCCACCAUGGCACCGUGCAAAGGCAGCACCAUCUCACCACCAUAGCCAUUGUUGUCACCACGACCGCCAUCAAACUACCAUUUUCAACUUCAAAACCACCAUCAUCACCAUCACCACCACAACCACCAUCAACAGAGUCUAAAAGCACCACUACCACCAACGCAGCCCAACAAGAUAACACAAAUGCAAUGCCACCAAAACAGACAACCCAACAAACCAAAAUUGAAGGAUUGCCACCACGACCAAAGCUAGUGCCACCAACUAAGGCUGUGCCGGUUCCACAUCCUUCGUCUUCAAAGCAAACACCAAAACUACUGAUCUACCCAAAUCCAAUGCUGCUGCUGUCUAAAGCAUCAUACUGUUCCACGACGAUGUUGUAUAAAUCGAGAGAGAGAGAAAGAGAGUGUCGUCUUCAGUAAAGAAAAGAGGAUAAUUUGUCCAUGCUGUGAAAAUCAAGAGAGGAAGAGAGUGCAACCAUCAACAGAGAGAAGGUAAAGAAAAGAGGAGAGAAGAUAGAGAAAAGAAUGAGAAAGAUUUAGGAUUUUGAAAUUGGGGUUGAGGUUGGGAUUGGGG